AAAGUUUGCUCGCCCUUUGUUUCUCUCAGCAAAUAAAUAGGCGAUCUCACUCUCCUCUAAUCACACCUCUCUUCAACAAUCCUCCAGUGCUCACGUGCAGCCAGGAAAGAAAGCAAGUUUCAAAAUGAAAUUUAUCGUGCUUGCUGCCUGCAUCCUUGGGAUGGCCAUCUCUGCUCCUCUGCAGAUAUUUGAGGAGUUUGACAUCCAUUACGCUCCACCUCAGGCGGCCCAGGUUAUCCCUGCUGGAGUCCCACUUGACAAUCUGGAAGUUUUGCUCCCUGUUGAUGCCCAAAGACACCCUCUUGGAGGACCUUUCUACCCCUUUGGCUUCAACCUGCCUAAUCCAGCUGCAGCUGACCCAGCUGCUCCAGUUGCCCCAGCUGCUCCAGCUGCUCCAGCUGCCCCAGCUGCCCCUGUUGCUCUUGCUGAUCCUGCCAUUCCUGUGGAACCUCUGAAUCCUGUCGUCGUUGCACCUCCCCCACGUGGCAAAGAUGAUGAAGAUGAAGAUGACUAAAACUACUUAGUCAGCAGGAAAAAAACACUCUUGGCACACUCAGGUGACCAGAGGUGUAAGACUAUCUGCUUACUGUGGUGAAAAAUCGCCAGCCAGCAAUGCUAUUUUCUGUGGUGCUAUGCAUUUUUUGAAACGGUGCUUUGUUUGGAAAAAGAAGAAUAAAGUCAAAAAGCAUGACAUGCCUCUUAUGAAAAAAAAAUUGAUGGUUUGCAGUUAAAUAUGACCAAAAGAAAAUAUCAAAAUAAAUGUAGCAGUAUAUUGUUUCCUCUCUACAUGCAACAUGAAAUGUUUCAUUUCUGUGCUUCAUAAUAAAUGAAACAGCUCAUUCAUCUAUUGUUUCUGGUUCUUUGCUUAAGAUAUAUUUCAAAUAAUAAAUAUCUGAUACUCAGUCCAUGAAUUAUAUGCAGCAUUUUGCAGAUUAUUACUGACUUGCUUUUUUGACUAUCCACAAAUAGCUACAGCAGGCAAUUAUAUUUAUUAUAAAUAAUAAAGGCUGUUCUCUGAUUUCAC
ensembl:lncRNA